rnacentral:rRNA from 1 species
GGAGUUAGCCGGUGCUUCUUCUGUGAGUGAUGUCCUUCCUGCCGGCUAUUAACCCGCAGGCCUUCUUCCUCACUGAAAGUGCUUUACAACCCGAAGGCCUUCUUCACACACGCGGCAUGGCUGGAUCAGGGUUGCCCCCAUUGUCCAAUAUUCCCCACUGCUGCCUCCCGUAGGAGUCUGGGCCGUGUCUCAGUCCCAGUGUGGCUGAUCAUCCUCUCAGACCAGCUACGGAUCGUCGCCUUGGUGAGCCGUUACCUCACCAACCAGCUAAUCCGACAUAGGCUCAUCCGAUAGCGCGAGGCCCGAAGGUCCCCCGCUUUCCCCCGUAGGGCGUAUGCGGUAUUAGCCUGGGUUUCCCCAGGUUAUCCCCACUACCCGGGCAGAUUCCUAUGCAUUACUCACCCGUCCGCCGCUCGCCACCAGGGAGCAAGCUCCCCGUGCUGCCGCUCGACUUGCAUGUGUUAGGCCUGCCGCCAGCGUUCAAUCUGAGCCAUAAUCAAAACUCUGA